UGGGUAACCUGCCCUUCACUGGGUGACAACCGAGGGAAACUUCGGCUAAUACCGCAUGAUGUGCGUUGUCUCAAGGCGACGUACCAAAACUCCGGUGGUGAAGGAUGGGCCCGCGGCGGAUUAGCUUGUUGGUGGGGUAAUGGCCUACCAAGGCAACGAUCCGUAGCUGGU
rnacentral:rRNA from 1 species